rnacentral:lncRNA from 1 species
UUAUGACAAUUUUGAUAUUAUAGUUGGCUUAUUUAUGGGGUGGGGUUUAGUUAGUAAUGGGUGGGUAGUGGAUUGGUUUAUAAAUAAUACAAAUAAAUUAAAGUAUAAGCAAUAGUUGAACAUCAAGUAUUUUAAAAAUAUUUAAAUAGUUUAAAUUUAAAAUCAUUAAAUAAGUGGUCAAUUUUGAACUCAAACGUGGAUGACAAGGGUAUUUUAGAGCCAAUAGGUGGAUGAAAAGGGCAUUUUGGAGCCAAUAGGUGGAUGAAGGGUAAUUUUGUACCAUUUUCAAUACUUCAAGGGUAUUUUAGACCCUUUUCCGAACAUAAUAUUAGAUUAGCUACUUAUCGAUUCAAAUAAACAUAGAAACAAAUUCUUAUCGAAAAGCAUUCACUGCUCACUCCCUUUUUGUUAUUUAUUUUACUCACACAACUCAAUCAACUGAAUAACAAUAAUAUGAUCUGGACUAGUAUAAAGAUUUAAGAGUGAUUACUAAUUACCUGAAGAAAAAUUCAUUUUUUCCAACCACCGGAAGAAGACGUAAUUCUCGCCCAACUCUUUUCUAAUUUUUUUUCCUCGGCGGCUGCGUGAACUGCUUCUCUCCACUACAGCCAUCAACAUUGCCCUUAUAUUGUUUUUAUUAUUAUUUAUUUAUUUAUCUUUUCUAUUAUUAUUAGCAACAAAAUAAUCUUUGGUUAAAUAUGAAAAUAAUUUCACCCAUUCUUAUAAGUCAUAAUUUAUUUAUAAAAAUUAUUUAAAAUGAUUAAUAUAAGAAUAAUGAUUAAAGUUUAUAAAACGACUAAGAGGGUCGUUAUAUUAUCCACCACUAAAAAUCAUGUUCGCCCUCGAACAUAAGGAAGAAGAAGGAAGAAUAAACGACGUUACCAAAAUCCUAAGGUAUGAUCUUCUAGAGUCGGUGUUCGUCUCUCUAAGUGGGCUCUUCCUUAAGACCAUUCCAUUCAAGAUUAACUACUAAGAACUGAUCCUUCCAAUUAAACUUGAAAAAAUUUACAAAUCACGAGUGAUUAUCAACCUAUAGACUAAUCUAUGAACCAAAUCUAAAAUGAAACCCUCUGGACCAUAACUUAAACAUCGUGACGAUUCUUUUCUCAUAUAACCAAGAGAACAUUCUGAAUCAGUAGUGACUACAACAAGAAGUUAGUUUGAAUUAACCACCUAACACUCAUACUGUACAAAUCAUCACAAUAUUUUUUUUAUCGCUUCCCUUAGCACAAUCUUUCCACUAGCAUAAGUUAUAUAUAUAUAUAUAUAUAUAUAUAUAUAUAUAUAUAUAUAUAUAUAUAAAUCUUUAGACAUCGAGUAUUCAUUAAGGGAUAAUCAAACUUAUCUAAUCCAAGGAAAAACAAGAAUAAAGUAAGCACCCAAAGACCGAUAUAUUCUAGGAUGCACAACUUUUAACAACACUGUUGUAUAACUGUAGCUAUUCACAAGAACUCUUCUAUAAGUUAUCAUAGGCAAGGUCAUGCAUAUAUAAACAACAAUAAACUUUUACUUUCCCAAACAACAUCGAAAUAUACCAUAACUGAAGUGACCAAGUCUUCACAAGGAUGCCAGUCUACCAUGAAGACAAUCACAUGAUCGGUACACCCGAUCCACCACUAGGAAUUCAUCCAUAGAUAUGAAAACACGUGUAGGUAUAGGUAGCGAAUCACACUUCAAACUAUAUCCAAAACGUAGUUGAUGGUCAUAUAAGAAUACACAGAACCAGAGUCGAAUAACACUAGAUACUUCUUUGAUAGUGUCCAUGUUAAACAUUUACAUUCAUAUGACUCUAUCUCUUUAAUUAUUAUAGCUACCCACAAUCAACUAGUCUGGUGCUUAUUAUAAUCGUAUACAUACUUGAUUUAUAAAACCUCACAUAUUCUUAUAGUACUCUACUGAAGUUAAAAAAAAAAUUAUACUAACAAACAUCAAAAUCACACCGGUCAUUUGUCUUACUCUCAAACCAUCACUAGUAUCAAAGUCUUCCUAGCAAGCACAUUGUAGCCUCCAAAAUUUUUGAAUUAUGACUCCCUUUCUUUCUAUUUAAGCAUGCGUUGAUAGAUAUGGGUACACACCCAAGGUUGAUAACACUAAUUUCGAAUAUGAUAUUAGUUCCUCCUCGACAUAAAACUAUUGAAUUACGUUCAAUGUAAUAUCCACACAAUCUUUCACAUGCAAAGUUUUAACUAUCAUUCAAACCAUCAUAUAUCUCGUGCCAAAACUUAGAGAAACUCUCAAUCAAUCCAAUAAUUCGGUAUAAUAUAAGCUCAUAACCUCCAUUCACCAUCAAAUACAUAUAUAACACAUCAUAACAGUCUAUAUCGUCCCACGACAAAGUAGUUUCAAUCCCUUCAAAUCCUCAUUAAUCAUGUAAAAUUGUAGGUUUACACCGUUGAACAUCAAUAAGUUACCUAUUAUGAUUUGAACAAUCUAACUUUACAUAACCAAGUAGAAUCCUUCACACGCAGUUGCUUGUCACCUGAUCAAACUCAAUCCUUAUCAAAGUCGUUGAUAACGCCUAGUAAGUCUGUACCGAAUCAGUUCACAUCUCAUAGUAAUAUCUUAAUUAAAAGGUUAAAAUCCAUAUAACCUUAAAUUCUGAACCAAGGGUCUAUACGAAGGGUCUUACUCUUUUACCUUUCUUAAAUUCUUCUCAUAAUGCAAUUAUUAAAUAUUUUAAAUCGUUAAUAUAUCAAACUUUUUUUUUGUCUCGCUUACUUGCUUACCUAUCUUAUCCUUUGACCAACUCAUUAUAUUUUUACAUUACCCUCUAACCAAAACAUUGCAUGAAACCUUCCUCAAGUAUAACAAUCAAAAGUAAUCAAAUUUACUACUCAAAUUAUUUUUAAAUCCUUCCAAAUGCUUCAUACUCAAUGUUAUCGAUUAUUUCUUACUUUUCCAAUUCAUACCUUGACAAAACAGACUAUCACAAAUCUAAAUUCACAAUUAAAAGCUUGAAUUUAUUCCAAACAUGUAACACAACCGUUUUAUCUAUCAACAUUAACUCAUAUCUUGAAGAUUUUUAUGAAUUCAUGUAUCUUAGCUUACAUUGAUCGCCUCUCCAUCAAUCAUAUCAUAUCCUUUGCCAAAACUUCAACUGUACUCAUUACCAACUUAUAAACAUAAAAAAAUACAUAUAAUCACACUCGAGUUGAACAUUUAUAUACACUCUUUUCUCAAGUUAUCCAAUAGUAAUUUUUUUGAUUUAAAUCAAUCAGUUGAUCUGGUGACACUAUAUAUUAUCAUAAUCAGGGCAAAAAGAUGAAAUCACAUAUCUCUGAAUUUAAUUAUCCACUCUUUCUGACAUCUUUGACCCUUAUAAUCUGAGUAAUAUCCUUGUUCUCACCUCCUUCUAAAGGUUAAACUACAUCCCACUAAUUCAUUCCAUUCUGGCUCUAGCUCCUUUCAAUUAUAUUCGAGUGACAUCAUAAUUCCUCAUAAAAAUUACCAUACAACCAUGCUAGUCACAAACAGUAGUAAACCAUAACUCAGACAUUCGAAAGUCACCCUUAUCAUACAAAAGUCUUUUAACCAACAAAACUUAUCAUAUAGUUGCAACCUAAUCAUCAUCCAUCACAAACUCUAGUUAUCACUAUGUAUAGUCAUCCCUUAUCAUUACCACAAAGUCAACCUUGUCAUGACAUGACAUCUCAAACUCAACUAUACCAAUCGAAUUCAACAGACUAACUUAACUUUAUACACAUUUUCUUUAAAAAAAUUCAAUUGUCUUCACCAAAGUAUACUCGUUGGGAUUUGCUUUACAUAUAAGAUAGUCAUUCCAAUAUUAAUCCACUCAAUUGGGGCUUAUGAUAAAAUAACCACUGCUCAUUUUGAAUCCUAAGGAUACACAUCAUAACCUACUCACACAUUAAUAUUAUACCAAAGAUCCACCACUAAAAGCUUUCUUAUAAAUAAUGCUUAACUCAUUCGUUCGUAGUAACAAGCUAGUUGGUUUUCAAAUAUGAAUGUAACAUAAAAUCUUAUUAUAUGAGUAUAUGAUAAAAUUGAUAGUUCCUUAAGUAGUUAUUGUUCACACUUAACAUCGAAUUAUCAAUUUUUAUAUAACACUAGUACCACAUCACGAAAUUUCAUUAGAUCCAUCACUAAAACACAUCAUACCUCCUGGAAAGAUUGUACUCAAAUCUCACAUAUUUCUAUAAGUUGAGUGGUUGUAGUACAUUACCAAAUCCAUUUGAUCUCUAAUCCAAUCGUUAUGCACUAUUUCAUAGAUUAGUUCGAUAAUAGAAGUAACACGCUCCAUAACACUAACCAAGUAAACAUCUAUACUAAGUAGUCAUACCAUCAUUUUCUUAAAUAUACAAAACCUAUAAAAUCGUAAUAGUUCUAACCUCCAUUGGUCCAUCAGUAUUCCUAUCAUCUUCUAAGCAACCCAUUAAUGGUAUGACAACUAUAUCAAUUGUAUUACGCUAUUUAUUAUCUAGUCAAUUCUUCAAACAUUUAAAUUCUAAUUGUCGAACCACUCCAUAUUUUGCUUAUACAAGAUAAGUACUAUAUUUAUUAUUAUUAUUUUACAAUGAUAACUAACCUUACUCAACUCUUUCAAAUAUGAUCACACAUUCGUUUCAUAAGUAUAGCAUUUCCACCUUAAUACCAAAUCUAACAUCAAACCAAUACACGACAUGCCAAUGAUUCACAAAAGGAACUACGCACGAGUCAUCACAUAAAUGAGAGCGAAUGGAGUGAAGCGCUAAGAAUCAAAAUGGGACCAAGUACGCACAAUAGAGAUCCAAGAAAUAAAGAUAUUUCCUAAAAGUCACUACAGCCUCUCUAAGAUAGGUACAGACGUCUCCGUACCGAUCAUCGAGACUCUAUUUAGACUCGACUUGUACACACGUGAGACCUAUGAACCUGGGGCUCUGAUAUCAUUUUGUCACGAUCCAAAAAUAGACGUGAUGGCACUUGUCUUAUCCCACCAAGACAAGUCAGCCUAAAACUCAACUUAUUACAAUAAAAUGCGGAAAAUUUACUAUCGACUUAUAUUAUAACCCAAAACCUGGUUGUCACGUGUACAAGCCUCUAAAGUAUUACAACUGAUUCAAAAGAAAACUCAAGUCUCAAAUGAACUUGUUUCUAGAAUAAAACAAGAACAUAAUUACGGAGAAGAAAGUCUGCUGCGAUGGAAACAGCUACCUAACAAAUCUCCAAGAAGCCUCGGAAAAGAAGAGAAUGACAAGUACAACAAAAAUCCAGGCUCAUAACCUAUAAAAAUUUGUAGAAGCAAGGGGUCAGUACCAAACCACACGGUACUCAGCAAGUAAACGUCUAAACACAAGCUAAGAGGAUGAAAUACGUGUACUCCUACCACCCCAACCCAACCUCCACAAUUACAAACUGCAUAAAAAUUCAGUCUAACCUAACAGUUCAUAUUUACAUAGCACGUAACUCUACAACAACACUUAGACAAAUUACAUAUACAUCCUCCACAACCACACUUUACCAAAUUACAUAUCCUCAAUAAAAACACUUCAACAAAUUACAUAUCCUCGAUAAAAACACUUCAACAAAUUACAUACCCUCAACAACAACAAUUCAACAAAUUAUAUAUCCUCAAUAACAAGCUCAGUAUUUAUCAAUCACAAAUUUCGCAGAAAGUCAAUCACAAGAUCAGCAAAACACAAUAUCAAGUUCACCAAUGAUAAGUAUGUGUAAUGCAAUGUCAAGUAUAAUGAUGCAUGUCUUACCUAGUGAUACACACCCGCUGUCUCUCAGUCCGGGACCCAUGGGGGACAUAUCUGUCCAUGCAUCUGUCGCGGCGCACGACACGACCCUCGAUAAUAGUAAUCAUCGCAGCGCGCAAUACGUCCCUCGAAAUAUAGUAUCCAUCGCGGCGCGCGAUACGUCCCUCGAAAUUGUACAUCCUCUUAAGUACUCAUUCUUUCUCAAUGCACAUAACACUUGUCACAACCAAUGCCUCAUAAUAAUGCAGAUGACAAGUUCACACAAAUAAUGAGGAGAUGACCAUUUUCAUAACAUUGCACAAUUCAAAACCACACAAACAUGAAAUCACAUCAACAAUGAUUCAACAAUCCUUCAUCCCUUUCUGAACACAUCACACUUAAAUAUUUAAUCACAUUGCCUUUUUUUAAUCCCUUUUUUUUCAUCAUUAGAUUAAUCAAUGUGGACAAGUCAAUCCAUCACCAAUCCUGUUACUCCCAAACAUAUACCACAAGAAAAUACACGCAUUUCAUACACUUAACAAGAGUUUAGAAAUCCACUUGCCUCAAUCAAUCGAGAAUUCACUCCGAGACUUGGGUUUUCCCCUUUUGCUGAACUUCCAACUCAAGCAAUCUAUUGACAUUAAUAAUCACGAUAAGAUUUUGAAGCUUACAACACCCAAAUUAAUAUUUAAGUUUUCAAAUAUCGAUGUUAUUUAGUAUGUUAAUUCUUAUAUUUUUCCAAAUUUUAAGUCUAGGGUUAAGUCUCAAUUCCUCCAGUUUGAUGAAUUUAAUUAUAUUCAUAUAAUAUAAUGCACAUACUAUUUAACAACAUAUCCCAUCAUCUCAAAACUUGAACCAUAACAAAGUUAUAAUUAAUAAAAAUAAAUUAUAGAGCACUCGAACCUAGUUACAAAAAUCGGCAUUUACUUACGGGAAUAUAACAAUCUGCAUAUUCAUAUAACCUAAAAUUUUCCCCACCCUUAUCCUCUAAUCAUUGGCAUAUAAUUAGCCUCAACCCAUUAUAAUAUAAUAUUACAAAUAUCUAAUGUUAUAUAAUAAUAAUAAUAAUAAUAAUAAUAAUAGUACCAACACUUAGUUUUUUCCAAAAUAGUUGUAACAAUAAAAUAAAAGAAAGGCCCAAAUUAUUAUCAAGUUACAUACAGUAACUGAAAUGGAGAAAAUCAAACACUUGAACCCCUUUCCAUACGUAUAAACCUCUUGAGCAUUUUUUUUAUUUCAAUAUCUCGAAUGAAAAAGAAUUUGGUCAUCAAUUAAUGACGACUUUUAGAUCUUAUCCCCACCAAAACUUCCAAAACAAACUGCUAGACUCCUUCCGAUUUCCUUAUUUAACAAGCAUAUUAUAAAACAUAAUAUUAGAUUAGCUACUUAUCGAUUCAAAUAAAC